rnacentral:tRNA from 1 species
GGGGAUUUAGCUCAGUUGGUAGAGCACUUGCUUAGCAAGCACAAGGCCCUGGGUUCGGUCCCUAGCUCCG